UGUACCUUUAGCUCAGUUGGUUAGAGCAGACGGCUCAUAACCGUCCGGUCGUAGGUUCGAGUCCUACAAGGUACAUAAG
rnacentral:tRNA from 1 species